rnacentral:rRNA from 1 species
CAUUGGAAAGGAUGCAGGCAGGGGGGAGUGUGGUUGUAGCUGGCCCCCUAAUAAGGGCAUGUGCACACUGUCUCUUUCUCUUGUUUGUUUUUUCAUUCUUUCCACUUGUGCACUGCUUGUAGGCAGCCUGGCAUUGUUCGGGUUGUCUAUGAUUUUAUUUUACAUACAUGAAUCAUUGUUGUACAGAAUGUGAUAAAAAAAUAAUAAUACAACUUUCAACAACGGAUCUCUUGGCUCUCGCAUCGAUGAAGAACGCAGCGAAAUGCGAUAAGUAAUGUGAAUUGCAGAAUUCAGUGAAUCAUCAAAUCUUUGAACGCAUCUUGCGCUCCUUGGUAUUCCGAGGAGCAUGCCUGUUUGAGUGUCAUUAAAUUCUGUCAAAACAUGCACUUGAGUGUGUUUUGGAUUGUGGGAGUGUCUGCUGGCUUUAUAUGAGUCAGCUCUCCUGAAAGACAUUAGCUUUGGAGGGAUGUGCCAAGUCACUUCUGCCUUUCCAUUGGUGUGAUAGAUGAAUAAACUUAUCUACGCCAGGAAAGCAGGUUGCAGGUGAUGCACUGUGAUCUCUCUGCUCUCUAAUUGACAUUUGUCUGAUAACUUGACCUCAAAUCAGGUAGGACUACCCGCUGAACUUAAGCAUAUCAACACGCGGAAAGA